GGGGACUGCGGAUGUCAUUAAGAAACAUUACACACAUGAUUUUCGAAGCAUAAAAACACCAAACAUUUAGUAAAAGUCAACACAAGAAAAACAAAUCAAAACUUUCAACAACGGAUCUCUUGGUUCUCGCAUCGAUGAAGAACGCAGCGAAAUGCGAUAAGUAAUAUGAAUUGCAGAUUUUCGUGAAUCAUCGAAUCUUUGAACGCACAUUGCGCCCUGUGGUAUUCCGCAGGGCAUGCCUGUUUGAGCGUCAUUUCUCUCUCAAGCCAUUGGGCUUGGUGUUGAGUUUGCUCGGCUUACUUGAAAAGAAUGUCUGCAAGUGUUUUAGGUUGUACCAAAUCUGAUUGCAGUAAUUAUCACCAAGUUUGACCUCAAAUCAGGUAGGACUACCCGCUGAACUUAAGCAUAUCAAUAAGCGGAGGAAUA
rnacentral:rRNA from 1 species